rnacentral:rRNA from 1 species
AGCAGCCGCGGUAAUUCCAGCUCCAAUAGCGUAUAUUAAAGUUGUUGCAGUUAAAAAGCUCGUAGUUGAAUUUCGAGAUCAAAUUGUUGGUCGUGCCUUGGUACGCACUAGCAUUAUUGGUUUCUCCCUUCUGACGAACCAUGAUGUCAUUAAUUUGGUGUCUUGGGGGAAUCAGGACUGUUACUUUGAAAAAAUUAGAGUGUUUAAAGCAGGCUCACGCUUGAAUACAUUAGCAUGGAAUAAUGAAAUAGGACGUUUGAUUCUAUUUUGUUGGUUUCUAGGAUCGACGUAAUGAUUAAUAGGGAUAGUUGGGGGGCAUUAGUAUUCAAUUGUCAGAGGUGAAAUUCUUGGAUUUAUUGAAGACUAACUACUGCGAAAGCAUUUUGCCAAGGAUGUUUUCAUUAAUCAAGAACGAAAGUUAGGGGAUCGAAGACGAUCAGAUACCGUCGUAGUCUUAACCAUAAACUAUGCCGACUAGGGAUCGGAUGGUGUUAAUUUUUUUCAAUGACUCAUUCGGCGC